rnacentral:rRNA from 1 species
UUGCGCUAAUACCGUAUACGCUCUUGCGAGGAAAGAUUUAUCGCCUUUAGACGGGCCCGCGUCGGAUUAGCUAGUUGGUAAGGUAACGGCUUACCAAGGCGACGAUCCGUAGCUGAUCUGAGAGGAUGAUCAGCCACACUGGGACUGAGACACGGCCCAGACUCCUACGGGAGGCAGCAGUGGGGAAUCUUGGACAAUGGGCGCAAGCCUGAUCCAGCCAUGCCGCGUGAGUGAAGAAGGCCUUCGGGUUGUAAAGCUCUUUUGUCAGGGACGAUAAUGACGGUACCUGAAGAAUAAGCCCCGGCAAACUUCGUGCCAGCAGCCGCGGUAAUACGAAGGGGGCUAGCGUUGUUCGGAAUUACUGGGCGUAAAGCGCACGUAGGCUGACAUUUAAGUCAGGGGUGAAAUCCCGAGGCUCAACCUCGGAACUGCCCUUGAUACUGGGUGUCUCGAGUCCGGAAGAGGUUAGUGGAAUUCCCAGUGUAGAGGUGAAAUUCGUAGAUAUUGGGAAGAACACCAGUGGCGAAGGCGGCUAACUGGUC